UAACAAAGGGCCACCAGGGCCCAUCUAGGUUAUCCUGUAUCAGUCGCACAGCGACCUCGUCAUAGAUACGGGUAACUGUAGGUAGAAUGGGCGAUCCAAGGCCAGGGGGGGGGGAGGAGUUCCGGGCAGCCUGGCAGUCAUUCUUCCCUCACUCACUGUGGGUGGUGUGGUGUGGUGCCAUUACUCCAUUGUAAUAAACUGUCUUCACUGCCUCAUUGUGGUGUUGUCACUAAGUAAUAAAUUGUGUAGAAAUCUU